rnacentral:rRNA from 1 species
GACGAACGCUGGCGGCGCGCUUAACACAUGCAAGUCGAGCGAGACCAGCCCUUCGGGGCUGGGGACAGCGGCGAACGGGUGAGUAACACGUGGGUAAUCUGCCCUCGGCACCGGAAUAGCCCGGGGAAACCCGGAUUAAUGCCGGAUGGCCUCUCGAGCUCUCGGGCUCGUGAGAAAAGGUAGCUUUGGCCUCCGGCCGAGGAUGAGCCCGCGGUCGAUUAGCUUGUUGGUGAGGUAAUGGCUCACCAAGGCGACGAUCGAUAGCUGGUCUGAGAGGACGAUCAGCCACACUGGGACUGAGACACGGCCCAGACUCCUACGGGAGGCAGCAGUGGGGAAUCUUGCGCAAUGGGCGAAAGACCUGACGCAGCGACGCCGUGUGCGGGAAGAAGGCCU